rnacentral:rRNA from 1 species
GAUGAACGCUGGCGGCGUGCCUAAUACAUGCCAGUCGAGCGAACAGACGAGGAGCUUGCUCCUCUGACGUUAGCGGCGGACGGGUGAGUAACACGUGGAUAACCUACCUAUAAGACUGGGAUAACUUCGGGAAACCGGAGCUAAUACCGGAUAAUAUAUUGAACCGCAUGGUUCAAUAGUGAAAGACGGUUUUGCUGUCACUUAUGGAUGGAUCCGCGCCGCAUUAGCUAGUUGGUAAGGUAACGGCUUACCAAGGCGACGAUGCGUAGCCGACCUGAGAGGGUGAUCGGCCACACUGGAACUGAGACACGGUCCAGACUCCUACGGGAGGCAGCAGUAGGGAAUCUUCCGCAAUGGGCGAAAGCCUGACGGAGCAACGCCGCGUGAGUGAUGAAGGUCUUCGGAUCGUAAAACUCUGUUAUUAGGGAAGAACAAAUGUGUAAGUAACUAUGCACGUCUUGACGGUACCUAAUCAGAAAGCCACGGCUAACUACGUG